AUGAAAGAGCAGUGGCAGGACAGGGAGUAAUGAGAGGUUACUGUUAACUGCUUGAAAAGGAGAAAGCGAAAGAAAACAAGAAAAUGCUUGCAAGAGAAAAAAUUACCUCAAAUGACCUGCAGAUAACACCUGGGUUACUGGAUCCUACUGGGAAUCUAAGAAAAUGUGAUGAUUUAUCUAAGAAACUAGUGCAGCACAAAGAAGAAACCAGUGGCUGUGAGAUUUCCAAGUGGAAAUAUAUGACAGACAACUGGAAAUACAAGAUUGACAUUUAGAGGAGACAUUGAGAUGCAGAUGAAGAUGUGGAAGUGAGACCCAGUCACGCUAAGUCAUAAUAAUAAUGCUUGGGAUAUAAACAUAAAAGGUAAGAUGUCUUUAUCAUGACUGCAACUAAAUUACCAAAUAGUAUUAGGUCACUGAGAAAGUCAUGACAUAUUUUUCUGUUUUUCUAUGCAAAAAUAUGUCACUUUUCCCAGCAACCCAAUAUUAAUCCAACAAUAGUAAAUAAAAGACACAUAUUAAAGAAAAUGUGUUUGGGGUAUUUUUCUGUACUAGAAAAGAAAAUUAUCUUUUCAAAAUCAUUAGAAACAGUUCUCUAGGCUGCUGUGGGUGAGGGGAGGCUGAAUAUUGGAGAAAGGGAAAGCUGUCAGAAAGACUAGGUUUUACUGAAGAGGGCUUUCUUUUGACUGGAAAAGAAGAGCAUUCCUUUAAACUGUCUGGAUUACUGUCUGGAAGUACAAUGGUUCUUUAUAGUAGAGGAAGGUUAAUUACAUAUGUGGAAAAGUGGGCUAAAUUCUGAACAAAGAAUCUAUGUCUAAUCAUGGAGAUGUACAAUUAUGUUAGCUAAUGUCAACAGGAAUGUCUUCCAGGUACAUGCUGCAAAGACAUUAACUAGUGGGGAGAUGCAUACCACAGGAAGAAGCAAGCAGCAACUGCACAGGGGCUUUCCAGGAGGCUUGCUACGUAGCCUGUUAGCAGUCCCACCAAGGUGUCUAGGUUCAUUAGACAGUCAUUAAGGGCAGGACAAACCCAGCAGCACUUUCCAAGGAAUGCUUAAGAUUCCACCAUGAAAGGCAACGAAAAGUAGCAAUGGCAUGGCAGAAAUAUACUUUUUAGACAGCUUUGUUGGAAAUACUUUACAAACUAGGUAGAGAAAACUUUUACUUACUCGUAAGAAUAGACUUAGAGUGUCUCUGAGAAGGGGAGCCAAGAAUCCUUGUGUGUUUUCUGUUUCUUUUUUUAUGUUUACUAGAGAGUAUAUGGCACUAACCAAAGAGACAGAGAGAGAAACAAGUCGGGGAGUGAAAAAGCACCCCUCUCCCCAGGGGAAUAGCCAAACUGUAAUCCAUUCUCCAUUUUCCUCUUGGGACUUUGGGCACAUAUACACCUGCACUUGGUGUGUUCUUCAAACUGUUAUGUCCUGGAAUCAAGCUGUGUGGUUGACCGUACAUAUCAGCUGGCCAGUGAGUCCCUUCUUUAAGAACUGCUCCACUGGUUUUGGUAGAUGACAUGGAACCAGGGAUGUGUAAGGAGUCCUAGUCCCAAGGCUCUAGAAAACAUGUCGGUCUCUAUUUUGUUUGCCAGAGGGCAUGUGUGCAUGCCAGAGAGAGAUGGAAAGAGGGCAGUGCUCUCCCCACAUGGGGCAUAAUCAGACUAUAACCCUUUCUCAUUGAUUUCUCUGUCCUGUUAGGAUUUUGGACACACAUGAACACAUGCCCAGCAUAUGUUUUAAGUCUUCAGGGGCCAGGAUUUGAACCGUGCAGUCAGAUAUGUGGGAUGUGGCUCCCAUAAAUGUUGGGCCACAGGGUCGGUCCUGGAGAAUAUAUAGAACUUAAAAUUAUAAGCAUGUACAGUAGGGCAGGGAUUAAGUUUGUGAGAUACUCAGACUACUGAUGAUGUACUUCUGGCCUCAGCAAAGAAAUCCUCCAGGGAUAUUUCAAGAUUUUUGUUAUAAGGAAUGUUCACUUGUUGAAGACAGAAAGAGGGAGGGAAAAUGAGAAAUCAUCCCAUAGGCAGAUGGCUAUGCUCCAAUUCUUAUUCCUUCAUCCUCCUCUCAGGAUCUUGGGCAUGCAUACACACACAUGCACCUGGUGUGAUU